UCACAACUCCUAAAAUUUACAGUCCUCGUCACGUUGGCAUCGAAAAUCCCCAAACUACAAAACCCUACCGCCGACGACGCCAUUGCAGAUCCACUUCUCCACUCCGGCCGCCACUUCUUCUCCAUUUUCUGCCCUAAAUCCGUCACUUCUCCUCUUGGGCAAUUACGUCACCUUCAAUAUCGCGUCGUAUUCGAAAAAGGAGCUGAUUGAACUCAAGAAUCGCUUGAUUGUGGAGCUUGAACACAUUCAUCAAUUAAAGGAAUUGAUGAUAAUGGAGAUGUUGCUGAUGAUCAUUACCACUGAUUCUUGGAAGAUAUUGAGAUUAUGCAUUCACUUGGAGUAAAUGCAUACCGGUUCUCAAUUUCAUGGGUUAGAAUUUUACCAAGUAUGUUCUUAGUAACAAUUAAUUGAAUGUUAAUGUAGUGAGAUUAAUAUUCAAUUACUUGAUGAUAAUGUUCCUGAGCUGUAACAGAAGGCAGAUUUGGUGAAGUUAAUCCAAAUGGAAUCAUGUUUUAUAAUAAUAUUAUAGCCCAUCUCUUGCGCAGAGGUAAUAUCCUUUUCAAUGAAUCUACAACUUAAGCACUUGUGUUUUUUUUUUUUUUUUACAAUUUUCUUGAAGAUGACGAAUAUGAAUUGGUUAAUGCAGGAAUUGAGCCGUUUGUGACCAUAUUCCAUUUGGCUUACCACAAGAACUAGAAGAUAGAUAUGGGUCUUGGUUCAGCCCUCUAAUUCGGGAAGAUUUUGUACAUUUUGCCAAAAUAUGCUUUGAGAAUUUUGGUGAUCGAGUUAAGAGUUGGGCAACCAUCAACGAGCCGAACCUGCUAAGCAAAAUGGUAUAUGUUAGGGGAUGGUAGCCUCCAGCUCACUGUUCAGCACCAUUUGGAAAUUGUUCUGCUGGCAACUCUGAUGUAGAGCCCCUCAUUGUUAUGCACAACAUGUUACUGUCACAUGCCAAGGCUGUUAAGCUAUACCGUGAGCAGUUUCAGGUAAUAGAAUGAGCUUGAAUAGUAAAUUGUGAAGUGCUUAUAUGGCAUGAAGCAGGGACAUCAAAUGACAGUGCCCAGUUUGCUGGCUUGUUUGAAACCGCUGGAAAUGUUGAGAUGGUUGAGGUAAUUUUGGUUUUGAAUUAAUUUUUGUUUUUAAUCUUUCAGAUUUGUCUGCGAUCGAUUCUUUGUUAGAUUAGUGUUAGUGAAAGAAACUUACUUUUAGAUUUGUUUAGAGCAAGAAGAUUGACUUUGAUGAUAAAAAGUUGAUUAUGACUCGCUUAUUGGUAAACUUGUUUUUAAU